GUGGGGGGCGCGGGCGAAGUUCGUCCGCCGGACUCGGAAUGGGGCGAGACUUUGCGAGGGGCCUCGGGGUGCCCGCGGGAAGUCGCGGGCACAGCCGCGUCCAAAAAUAAGUGCCCGAAGGUCGUGGUGCCAAAACCCCCCAGCGGAAAAAUGGCCAAAAAACGGGUGGGCUAUAGCCAUGGUGGGGGGCGCGGGCGAAGUUCGUCCGCCAGACUCGGAAUGGGGCGAGACUUUGCGAGGGGCGUCGGGGUGCCAAAAAUAAGCCGCGGGCAAAGCCGCGCCCAAAAAUAAGCGCCCGAAGGUCGUGGUGCCAAAACCCCCCAGCGGAAAAAUGGCCAAAAAACGGGUGGGCUAUAGCCUUGGUGGGGGGCGCGGGCGAAGUUCGUCCGCCGGACUCGAAAUGGGGCGAGAUUUUGCGAGGGGCCUCGGGGUGCCCGCGGGAAGUCGCGGGCACAGCCGCGUCCAGAAAUAAGCGCCCGAAGUUCGUGGUGCCAAAACCCCCCAGCGGAAAAAUGGCCAAAAAACGGGUGGGCUAUAGCCUUGGUGGGGGGCGCGGGCGAAGUUCGUCCGCCGGACUCGGAAUGGGGAGAGACUUUGCGAGGGUCCUCGGGGUGCCCGCGGGAUGUCGCGGCCACAGCCGAGCCCAAAAAUAAGCGCCUGAAGGUCGUGGUGCCAAAACCCCCCAGCGGAAAAAUGGCCAAAAAACGGGUGGGCUAUAGCCUUGGUGGGGGGCGCGGGCGAAGUUCGUCCGCCGGACUCGGAAUGGGGCGAGACUUUGCGAGGGGCCUCGGGGUGCCCGCGGGAAGUCACUGGCACAGCCGCGUCCAAAAAUAAGCGCCCGAAGGUCGUGGUGCCAAAACCCCCCAGCGGAAAAAUGGCCAAAAAACGGGUGGGCUAUAGCCAUAGUGGGGGGCGCGGGCGAAGUUCGUCCGCCAGACUCGGAAUGGGGCGAGACUUUGCGAGGGGCCUCGGGGUGCCAAAAAUAAGCCGCGGGCAAAGCCGCGCCCAAAAAUAAGCACCCGAAGGUCGUGGUGCCAAAACCCCCCUGCGGAAAAAUGGCCAAAAAACGGGUGGGCUAUAUCCUUGGUGGGGGGCGCGGGCGAAGUUCGUCCGCCGGACUCGGAAUGGGGCGAGACUUUGCGAGGGGCCUCGGGGUGCCCGCGGGAAGUCACUGGCACAGCCGCGUCCAAAAAUAAGCGCCCGAAGGUCGUGGUGCCAAAACCCCCCAGCGGAAAAAUGGCCAAAAAACGGGUGGGCUAUAGCCAUAGUGGGGGGCGCGGGCGAAGUUCGUCCGCCAGACUCGGAAUGGGGCGAGACUUUGCGAGGGGCCUCGGGGUGCCAAAAAUAAGCCGCGGGCAAAGCCGCGCCCAAAAAUAAGCACCCGAAGGUCGUGGUGCCAAAACCCCCCUGCGGAAAAAUGGCCAAAAAAUGGGUGGGCUAUAGCCUUGGUGGGGGGCGCGGGCGAAGUUCGUCCGCCGGACUCGAAAUGGGGCGAGACUUUGCGAGGGGCCUCGGGGUUUCCGCGGGAAGUCGCGGGCACAGCCGCGUCCAGAAAUAAGCUUCCGAAGUUCGUGGUGCCAAAACCCCCCAGCGGAAAAAUGGCCAACAAACGGGUGGGCUAUAGCCUUGGUGGGGGGCGCGGGCGAAGUUCGUCCGCCGGACUCGGAAUGGGGAGAGACUUUGCGAGGGUCCUCGGGGUGCCCGCGGGAUGUCGCGGCCACAGCCGAGCCCAAAAAUAAGCGCCUGAAGGUCGUGGUGCCAAAACCCCCCAGCGGAAAAAUGGCCAAAAAACGGGUGGGCUAUAGCCUUGGUGGGGGGCGCGGGCGAAGUUCGUCCGCCGGACUCGGAAUGGGGCGAGACUUUGCGAGGGGCCUCGGGGUGCCCGCGGGAAGUCACGGGCACAGCCGCGUCCAAAAAUAAGCGCCCGAAGGUCGUGGUGCCAAAACCCCCCAGCGGAAAAAUGGCCAAAAAACGGGUGGGCUAUAGCCAUAGUGGGGGGCGCGGGCGAAGUUUGUCCGCCAGACUCGGAAUGGGGCGAGACUUUGCGAGGGGCCUCGGGGUGCCAAAAAUAAGCCGCGGGCAAAGCCGCGCCCAAAAAUAAGCACCCGAAGGUCGUGGUGCCAAAACCCCCCAGCGGAAAAAUGGCCAAAAAACGGGUGGGCUAUAGCCUUGGUGGGGGGCGCGGGCGAAGUUCGUCCGCCGGACUCGAAAUGGGGCGAGACUUUGCGAGGGGCCUCGGGGUGCCCGCGGGAAGUCGCGGGCACAGCCGCGUCCAGAAAUAAGCUUCCGAAGUUCGUGGUGCCAAAACCCCCCAGCGGAAAAAUGGCCAAAAAACGGGUCGGCUAUAGCCUUGGUGGGGGGCGCGGGCGAAGUUCGUCCGCCGGACUCGGAAUGGGGCGAGACUUUGCGAGGGGCCUCGGGGUGCCAAAAAUAAGCCGCGGGCAAAGCCGCGCCCAAAAAUAAGCGCCCGAAGGUCGUGGUGCCAAAACCCCCCAGAGGAAAAAUGGCCAAAAAACGGGUGGGCUAUAGCCUUGGUGGGGGGCGCGGGCGAAGUUCGUCCGCCGGACUCGGAAUGGGGCGAGACUUUGCGAGGGGCCUCGGGGUGCCUGCGGGAAGUCGCAGGCACAGCCGCAUCCAAAAAUAAGGGCCCGAAGGUCGUAGUGCCAAAACCCCCCAGCGGAAAAAUGGCCAAAAAACGGGUGGGCUAUAGCCUUGGUGGGGGGCGCGGGCGAAGUUCGUCCGCCAGACUCGGAAUGGGGCGAGACUUUGCGAGGGGCCUCGGGGUGCCAAAAAUAAGCCACGGGCAAGGCUGCGCCCAAAAAUAAGCGCCCGAAGGUCGUGGUGCCAAAACCCCCCAGCGGAAAAAUGGCCAAAAAACGGGUGGGCUAUAGCCUUGGUGGGGGGCGCGGGCGAAGUUCGUCCGCCGGACUUGGAAUGGGGCGAGACUUUACGAGGGGCCUCGGGGUGCCCGCGGGAAUUCGCGGGCACAGCCGCAUCCAGAAAUAAGCGCCCGAAGGUCGUGGUGCCAAAACCCCCCAGCGGAAAAAUGGCCAAAAAACGGGUGGGCUAUAGCCUUGGUGGGGGGCGCGGGCGAAGUUCGUCCGCCGGACUCGGAAUGGGGCGAGACUUUGCGAGGGGCCUCGGGGUGCCAAAAGUAAGCCGCGGGCAAAGCCGCGCCCAAAGGUCGUGGUGCCAAAACCCCCCAGCGGAAAAAUGGCCAAAAAACGGGUGGGCUAUAGCCUUGGUGGGGGGCGCGGGAGAAGUUCGUCCGCCGGACUCGGAAUGGGGCGAGACUUUGCGAGGGGCCUCGGGGUGCCCGCGGGAAGUCGCGGGCACAGCCGCGUCCAGAAAUAAGCGCCCGAAGGUCGUGGUGCCAAAAGCCCCCAGCGGAAAAAUGGCCAAAAAACGGGUGGGCUAUAGCCUUGGUGGGGGGCGCGGGCGAAGUUCGUCCGCCGGACUCGGAAUGGGGCGAGACUUUGUGAGGGCCCUCGGGGUGCCAAAAAUAAGCCGCGGGCAAAGCCGCGCCCAAAGGUCGUGGUGCCAAAACCCCCCAGCGGAAAAAUGGCAAAAAACGGGUGGGCUAUAGCCUUGGUGGGGGGCGCGGGCGAAGUUCGUCCGCCGGACUCGGAAUGGGGCGAGACCUUGCGAGGGGCCACGGGGUGCCCGCGGGAAGUCGCGGGCACAGCCGCGUCCAGAAAUAAGUGCCCGAAGGUCGUGGUGCCAAAACCCCCCAGCGGAAAAAUGGCCAAAAAACGGGUGGGCUAUAGCCUUGGUGGGGGGCGCGGGCGAAGUUCGUCCGCCGGACUCGGAAUGGGGCGAGACUUUGCGAGGGGCCUCGGGGUGCCAAAACUAAGCCUCGGGCAAAGCCGCGCCCAAAGGUCGUGGUGCCAAAACCCCCCAGCGGAAAAAUGGCCAAAAAACGGGUGGGCUAUAGCCUUGGUGGGGGGGGCGGGCGAAGUUCGUCCGCCGGACUUGGAAUGGGACGAGACUUUGCGAGGGGCCUCGGGGCACCAAAAAUAAGCCGCGGGCAAAGCCGCGCCCAAAAAUAAGCGCCCGAAGGUCGUGGUGCCAAAACCCCCCAGCGGAAAAAUGGCCAAAAAACGGGUGGGCUAUAGCCUUGGUGGGGGGCGCGGGCGAAGUUCGUCCGCCGGACUCGGAAUGGGGCGAGACUUUGCGAGGGGCCUCGGGGUGCCCGCGGGAAGUCGCGGGCACAGCCGCGUCCAGAAAUAAGCGCCCGAAGGUCGUGGUGCCAAAACCCCCCAGCGGAAAAAUGGCCAAAAAACGGGUGGGCUAUAGCUUUGGUGGGGGGCGCGGACGAAGUUCGUCCGCCGGACUCGGAAUGGGGCGAGACUUUGCGAGGGGCUUCGGGGUGCCCGCGGGAAGUCGCGGGCACAGCCGCGCCCAAAAAUAAGCGCCCGAAGGUCGUGGUGCCAAAACCCCCCAGCGGAAAAAUGGCCAAAAAACGGGUGGGCUAUAGCCUUGGUGGGGGGCGCGGGCGAAGUUCGUCCGCCGGACUUGGAAUGGGGCGAGACUUUGCGAGGGGCCUUGGGGUGCCCGCGGGAAGUCGCAGGCACAGCCGCGUCCAGAAAUAAGCGCCCGAAGGUCGUGGUGCCAAAACCCCCCAGCGGAAAAAUGGCCAAAAAACGGGUGGGCUAUAGCCUUGGUGGGGGGCGCGGGCGAAGUUUGUCCGCCGGACUCGGAAUGGGGCGAGACUUUGCGAGGGGCCUCGGGGUGCCAAAAAUAAGCCGCGGGCAAGGCCGCGCCCCAAAAUAAGCGCCCGAAGGUCGUGGUGC
rnacentral:lncRNA from 1 species